AUAUAUAUACAGAUACACGAAGGAAUCCACCAAAAAGACCCAUAACCAUUACAACCAUUUCCAUCUCUCUCUAUCUCUUUCCUCUCUUCCCUAUUCUACACAUCUCAAUCCACUAUCUCUCUCCUCCUGUACCAAGACAACUGAUCAAAAGCUGUGGAAAGGGAUAUCUCUAUACAUAUAUACGGUUAUACGUAUAUAUAUAGGGAGAUAGAAAGAAGAGGGAACCGGUUGUGAAGUUUAAAAAUGGGGGCUGAUGGAUUUGGAGGGAUGAGUUAUUAUGUGGGAAUUUUUCUGGGAUUAAUGUUGAUUCUUAAAUGGGUUUUGAAGAGUGUGAAUAUAUGGAUUUAUGAGAGGAAUUUGGAGAAGAAGAAGAGGAAGUGUCUGCCACCAGGUGAUAUGGGUUGGCCGUUCAUCGGAAACAUGUGGUCGUUCCUCAGAGCUUUCAAGUCUAACGAUCCUGAUGCCUUCAUCUCCAAUUUCCUUCGCAGAUUUGGGUCUAGGGGUUUAUAUAAGUCGUUUAUGUUUGGUAGCCCUAGCAUCAUCGUGACUGUUCCCGAAGCAUGUCGGAAAGUAUUGUUUGAUGAUGAAGCAUUCCAGCCAGGGUGGCCAACUGCCACCCGGGAACUCAUCGGAAAAAAAUCAUUUAUUGGAAUUUCUUACGAAGAUCAUAAAAGGCUUCGUAAGUUGACCGCAGCACCAGUAAAUGGUCACGAAGCCUUGUCUACAUACAUGCAGUACAUUGAGACCAAUGUGGUCUUAGCAUUGGAGAAAUGGUCAAAAAUGGGGCGGAUUGAGUUCCUCACCUACCUGCGAAAGCUAACUUUUCAGAUAAUCAUGCACAUUUUCCUUAGCACUGAGAGCGAACAUGUAAUGGAUGCAUUGGAGAAAGAGUACACGGUGCUUAACUACGGCGUUAGGGCUAUGGCCAUUAAUAUUCCUGGUUUUGCAUAUUAUAAUGCACUUAAGGCGCGGAAGAACCUUGUGGCCAUUUUGCAAACAGUUGUACACGAACGUAGAAAGAAACGAGAGGCAAACGAAGGGAUGUCCAAGAAAGACAUGCUUGAUGCUCUCCUGGACACUACAGACGAGAAAGGAAGAAAACUAGAUGAUGAGGAAAUAAUCGAUACAUUAGUCAUGUACCUAAACGCGGGCCAUGAAUCUUCGGGACACAUCACAAUGUGGUCUACCAUUCUUCUCCAAGCACAUCCAGAAUUUUUCCACAUAGCAAAGGAAGAACAAGAGAGGAUUGUAAAGAAUAUGCCACCAACACAAGAGGGUUUGACCUUGAAAGAGUAUAGGCAAAUGGAGUAUCUCUCGAAGGUGAUUGAUGAAACGCUUCGUUUAGUGACUUUUUCGCUCAUGACGUUCCGUGAAGCUAAAAAAGAUGUCGAUAUCAAAGGUUACUUCAUUCCUAAAGGAUGGAAAGUGUUGCUCUGGUUUAGGAGUGUUCACCAUAAUCCUGAACUUUAUCCCCAACCUAAAGAGUUUAAUCCUUCAAGAUGGGAUGAUCUUGUACCAAAGCCAGGAACUUUUCUUCCAUUUGGAGCAGGAAGUAGGCUUUGCCCUGGAAAUGACCUUGCCAAGCUAGAGAUUGCCAUCUUCCUCCACCAUUUUCUUCUAAAUUAUGAGUUUGAAAGGGAAAAUCCAGAAUGCCCAAUUAUGUAUUUACCUCAUUCAAGGCCUAAAGACAAUUGCGUGGGAAGACUUAGAAGGGUUUCCAAAUGAAAGAGGGUAGAUUUGGAAAUUAAAUAAAGGUUGGUUGAAGUAUUUUUGUCCUAUCAAACACAAAAAUAAUGCAUCAUAAAAUGAUGUAAUAUGGUGGAUGGCUGGAGUUGGCAUUACAGCACCACUAUUUUUCUUAUCAUCAUCAUCUUUAUCAUGCUACAAUCACGACAGGGGAAACAUAUGCAAAAAAGAGAGCAGGAAAGUGUGAGAAGACUUGUAAAACUAUUUUCUUGGUUCACUGCCAAAUCUUGAACUAAAGAGAAUGGGCAUAUUGUACAAACACAAACAACACACACUUAGUCAAAAGGUGUAAAUGUGAAGGAGUAAGAAAUGGCAGUUUCAUCUUUUCCAGUUUCUUAGUUCUCUAUUUUUAGGACUGCAAAAAAACCAACAU